AGUAAAUAGAGAUGAAAAUAAUACUGAAUGAAGCUCAUUGAUUUGGUGUUUGUGUUUUGUUUUCUAGAGUUUCUAAGGCCCUUUGGAAAUCAAGUAGAAGCCAAACUAAGGCUGUGUUGUUCCUCAAAGUAUAGCAUGGGAUCUCCUAAGGAGGCACCACAGAAGUCUCAAUCGAGUUCUUGAGGAAAUCAAUGGGAGUUUGAUUGGAGCCAUAGAAAGCCAUGAAGGGAAUUUCAAGAGAUAAAAGUCUGGAGCCAGACAUUCAAAAAUAGCUUUUUAAGU
rnacentral:lncRNA from 1 species